rnacentral:rRNA from 1 species
AUCAUGGCUCAGAACGAACGCUGGCGGCGCGUCUUAAACAUGCAAGUCGAACGAUCUGUAGCAAUACAGGGAGUGGCGGACGGGUGAGGAACACGUAGGAAUCUACCUUGAAGAGCGGGACAACUUUGGGAAACCGGGGCUAAUACCGCAUAGUACAGAGAUGUUAAAGGGCUAGCAAUAGUCGCUUCGAGAUGAGCCUGCGGUCUAUCAGCUUGUUGGUGAGGUAAUGGCUCACCAAGGCUACGACGGAUAGCCGGUCUGAGAGGAUGAUCGGCCACACUGGCACUGAGACACGGGCCAGACUCCUACGGGAGGCAGCAGUUAAGAAUCUUGCGCAAUGGGGGAAACCCUGACGCAGCGACGCCGCGUGAAGGAUGAAGGCUUUCGGGUUGUAAACUUCGGUAGACUGGGAAGAAGAAAUACGUUCGUUGAGGGCGUAUAGUGGCGGUACCAGUCUGAAGCCCCGGCUAAUUACGUG